UACGUAGGUGGCAAGCGUUGUCCGGAUUUACUGGGCGUAAAGGAUGCGUAGGCGGAUACUUAAGUCAGAUGUGAAAAUCCCGGGCUUAACUUGGGAACUGCAUUUGAAACUGGGUAUCUAGAGUGCGGGAGAGGAAAGUGGAAUUCCUAGUGUAGCGGUGAAAUGCGUAGAGAUUAGGAAGAACACCAGUGGCGAAGGCGACUUUCUGGACCGUAACUGACGCUGAGACGCGAAAGCGUGGGGAGCAAACAGG
rnacentral:rRNA from 1 species